rnacentral:rRNA from 1 species
CUUGGUGACAAUAGCCUUGUGGCACCACCUGAUCCCAUCCCGAACUCAGCAGUGAAACGCAAACGCGCCGAUGGUAGUGUGGGGUCUCCCCAUGUGAGAGUAGGUCAUCGCCAAGC